rnacentral:rRNA from 1 species
UACGAAGGGGGCUAGCGUUGCUCGGAAUCACUGGGCGUAAAGCGCACGUAGGCGGCUUUCUAAGUCAGGGGUGAAAUCCUGGAGCUCAACUCCAGAACUGCCUUUGAUACUGAGGAUCUUGAGUACGGGAGAGGUGAGUGGAACUGCGAGUGUAGAGGUGAAAUUCGUAGAUAUUCGCAAGAACACCAGUGGCGAAGGCGGACUCACUGGCCCGUUACUGACGCUGAGGCACGAAAGC